rnacentral:rRNA from 1 species
AGUGAACGCUGGCGGUAGGCCCAACACAUGCAAGUCGAACGGCAGCACAGUAAGAGCUUGCUCUUACGGGUGGCGAGUGGCGGACGGGUGAGGAAUACAUCGGAAUCUACUUUUUCGUGGGGGAUAACGUAGGGAAACUUACGCUAAUACCGCAUACGACCUACGGGUGAAAGCAGGGGAUCUUCGGACCUUGCGCGAUUGAAUGAGCCGAUGUCGGAUUAGCUAGUUGGCGGGGUAAAGGCCCACCAAGGCGACGAUCCGUAGCUGGUCUGAGAGGAUGAUCAGCCACACUGGAACUGAGACACGGUCCAGACUCCUACGGGAGGCAGCAGUGGGGAAUAUUGGACAAUGGGCGAAAGCCUGAUCCAGCCAUACCGCGUGGGUGAAGAAGGCCUUCGGGUUGUAAAGCCCUUUUGUUGGGAAAGAAAAGCAGCAGGUUAAUACCCCGCUGUUCUGACGGUACCCAAAGAAUAAGCACCGGCUAACUUCGUG